UGUCACUCCUUUCUGGUUGUAUUCACUUGGGACGCUGAUUGUGCACCUCCCUAACCCUCUAGCACUGCUCUGUUCGUCCAUCUUUCUCAUCCUAAAUACCGCUAUCGGCAGUGCCAGCAUCACUACUGUUCAGUACUUUGUGAUAACAGAUGGCUCAUGUCCGCUAUUAUCGAUGACUCCCCGGCUGCUGAUAGUAGGCAGAACUCGCUAUGUAGUAGAUGUACGGCGCUGUGUAGGAGGGAACAGAUUAACACAGUGGAUCUUUGUCCAGCAUAGAGAACAAGUGUGACUGGAGUUAAUAAUUCAAGAAAAAGUGCAAAACAACAGCACUGAAAAAACAUUUUCCACACUACAAGUUUUAAGGUAACAGAACAUUGGAGCAGGGCAGACAUGAUGUGCAGGAAUAACAAGACAAUAUUGAAAGUGUUUCUAUUAUUCAUGAGGGAAACAACUGUAAAUAGCUAUGAUAACUGUUUCCUUUUUUUUGUCAAUUUGUUAUUGGUUUCAU